rnacentral:rRNA from 1 species
AAACCAACAGGGAUUGCCUCAGUAACGGCGAGUGAAGCGGCAAAAGCUCAAAUUUGAAAUCUGAGGCUCUCAGCCCCCGAGUUGUAAUUUGAAGAUGGUGUUCUGGCGCCGGCCCCCUGUCUACGUUCCUUGGAACAGGACAUCACAGAGGGUGAGAAUCCCGUCUGGCGGGGCGGCCUGGCUCCGUGUAGAGCGCCAUCGACGAGUCGAGUUGUUUGGGAAUGCAGCUCUAAGUGGGUGGUAAAUUCCAUCUAAAGCUAAAUAUUGGCGAGAGACCGAUAGCGAACAAGUACAGUGAUGGAAAGAUGAAAAGAACUUUGAAAAGAGAGUGAAAAAGUACGUGAAAUUGUUGAAAGGGAAGGGUAUUGGAUCAGACUUGGUGCUGUGCGAAUAGCGGCUCUUCUUGGGCCGCCCACUCGCACUCCACCGGGCCAGCAUCGGUUUGGGCGGCAAGACAAUGGCGGGGGAACGUGGCACUGCUCUCGGGCAGUGUGUUUAUAGCCCCCGCUGAUGUUGCCUGCCUAGACCGAGGACUGCGGCUCUGCCUAGGAUGCUGCG